rnacentral:ncRNA from 2 species
ACAUGGUCGCAGAGGCAGGGCACUAUAUCGAUCCGGGAUUCAGGGAAGUGCGGUGAAAAUCCGUCGCUGCCCCCGCAACUGUAAGCCGGACAAGGCUCCAUGCGCCACUGUGACAACACGGGAAGGCGGAGCUGAGGAUGAUGGCGAGCCAGGAUACCUGCCCCGAGAACACACAGCGG